GAGGGGCCCGCGCCUGAUUAGCUAGUUGGUGGGGUAAUGGCUCACCAAGGCAACGAUCAGUAUCCGGCCUGAGAGGGCGGACGGACACACUGGGACUGAGACACGGCCCAGACUCCUACGGGAGGCAGCAGUGGGGAAUUGUUCGCAAUGGGCGCAAGCCUGACGACGCAACGCCGCGUGGAGGAUGAAGACCUUCGGGUCGUAAACUCCUUUCGAUCGAGACGAACGGCCUCCGGGUGAAUAAUCCGGAGGAGUGACGGUACCGAGAGAAGAAGCCCCGGCUAACUCCGUGCCAGCAGCCGCGGUAAUACGGGGGGGGCAAGCGUUGUUCGGAAUUACUGGGCGUAAAGGGCUCGUAGGUGGCCAACUAAGUCAGACGUGAAAUCCCUCGGCUUAACCGGGGAACUGCAUCUGAUACUGGAUGGCUUGAGUUUGGGAGAGGGAUGCGGAAUUCCAGGUGUAGCGGUGAAAUGCGUAGAUAUCUGGAGGAACACCGGUGGCGAAGGCGGCAUCCUGGACCAACACUGACGCUGAGGAGCGAAAGCCAGGGGAGCAAACGGGAUUAGAUACCCCGGUAGUCCUGGCCCUAAACGAUGAAUGCUUGGUGU
rnacentral:rRNA from 1 species